UCGAGGGAAUCGAGCUGUUAGAAAUCCCAGAAGACGCUGCGGGCGGUCAGUGUACGGAAGCCUGUAAGAUUUAAACUCGCUCUUGCAAAUACUUGACGGCUCUUGAAAGUAAACAUUUAUCGUUUUGUUUUGCUUAAUUUUAAUAAAGUGGUAAGACCCGGAGAAAGUCUGCAGUAUUUUUAUUGGCAUAUUAAAAUGAAUCUUAACAUAGUCAUAUAACGCUGUAAAAUAAAACGAUAUACAAUUAUAUUAAAAUAAUAUCUAUAAUAGUAUGAAAUGUUUUAAUAAUUAUGACAUUUGUGUGUAAUGUUAUGUUAUGUCAUAUUUAUUGUUCAUUGGCCGCUGCUUAUGCUGAGACUGCGGUCAGUAAAGCAAGAACGCUGCACGUCUCAAUUCUCACAAGGAUGCGUUCUGUGUUCUCACGUCCUUCCGAGUUCGUUCUUCAAAGGAAGCCUUGCAAGACCGGUCUCCACGAGAACACAAGUCCGUUCUCUGCGUUCUUGGAAUUGAGAAACAGCCUAAGUUUACCUGUCGGAGAGCAGCGGGCAAACAACAAACGAUAAAGGACAUUCCUGCUUGGUCUUGUGUCAAAGCUGUGCAGAAUUGAAGGAAGGAACCUCAAAGACAGUGCCAGAAGGAUGCUGAACAGGGUUUUAAAAAAUUCCCUCAUGUCCUGAGGUCAACAUGAAGGAGGGUGGUCCGCUGCAGAAAGAGGCAUUUGAAAAGACUGCACUGUUCUCGGUCAUUAGAGAUGCUGUGAUGACCAACUUCCCGGCAGCAACAGAGUUGGACUUGAGGAAUGCAGUUGGGAAGCAUUUUAAACAAGAAAUAAAACCAAUAAUAAUAAUUUCCUUUAAGUUCAC